rnacentral:tRNA from 1 species
GCCCAGGUGGCGGAAUUGGUAGACGCGUCGGUCUCAAAAACCGAUGAGGUAAAACUCGUGCCGGUUCGACCCCGGCCCCGGGUA